AGACCCCGCAAGGGGUUUGUAGCGUGGCAAACGGGUGAGUAACACGUGGGCGACCUACCUCAGAGUGGGGGAUAACCUUCCGAAAGGGAGGCUAAUACCGCAUGACAUCCCAUGUUUGGAUACAUGGACAUCAAAGCCGGGGAUCGCAAGACCUGGCGCUUGGAGAGGGGCCCGCGUCCGAUUAGCUAGUUGGUGAGGUAACGGCUCACCAAGGCUUCGAUCGGUAUCCGGCCUGAGAGGGCGGACGGACACACUGGGACUGAGACACGGCCCAGACUCCUACGGGAGGCAGCAGUGGGGAAUUGUUCGCAAUGGGCGCAAGCCUGACGACGCAACGCCGCGUGGAGGAUGAAGGACUUCGGU
rnacentral:rRNA from 1 species